rnacentral:snoRNA from 11 species
UUCGUUGAUGACUCUUGAUAAACAAUACAAACUAGAGUUUCUGAACAAUCAUUUAGUAGAAUUGUUAGUGAUUAGGACAUAUCUUACUGAGG